UGGGGAAUAUUGCACAAUGGGGGAAACCCUGAUGCAGCGACGCCGCGUGGAGGAAGAAGGUCUUCGGAUUGUAAACUCCUGUUGUUGAGGAAGAUGAUGACGGUACUCAACAAGGAAGUGACGGCUAACUACGUGCCAGCAGCCGCGGUAAAACGUAGGUCACAAGCGUUGUCCGGAAUUACUGGGUGUAAAGGGAGCGCAGGCGGGAAGACAAGUUGGAAGUGAAAUCUAUGGGCUCAACCCAUAAACUGCUUUCAAAACUGUUUUUCUUGAGUAGUGCAGAGGUAGGCGGAAUUCCCGGUGUAGCGGUGGAAUGCGUAGAUAUCGGGAGGAACACCAGUGGCGAAGGCGGCCUACUGGGCACCAACUGACGCUGAGGCUCGAAAGUGUGGGUAGCAAACAGGAUUAGAUACCCUGGUAGUCCACACCGUAAACGAUGAUUACUAGGUGUUGGAGGAUUGACCCCUUCAGUGCCGCAGUUAACACAAUAAGUAAUCCACCUGGGGAGUACGACCGCAAGGUUGAAACUCAAAGGAAUUGACGGGGGCCCGCACAAGCAGUGGAGUAUGUGGUUUAAUUCGACGCAACGCGAAGAACCUUACCAAGUCUUGACAUCCCUUGACGAACAUAGAAAUAUGUUUUCUCUUCGGAGCAAGGAGACAGGUGGUGCAUGGUUGUCGUCAGCUCGUGUCGUGAGAUGUUGGGUUAAGUCCCGCAACGAGCGCAACCCUUACUGUCAGUUACUACGCAAGAGGACUCUGGCAGGACUGCCGUUGACAAAACGGAGGAAGGUGGGGAUGACGUCAAAUCAUCAUGCCCUUUAUGACUUGGGCUACACACGUACUACAAUGGCGUUAAACAAAGAGAAGCAAGACCGCGAGGUGGAGCAAAACUCAGAAACAACGUCCCAGUUCGGACUGCAGGCUGCAACUCGCCUGCACGAAGUCGGAAUUGCUAGUAAUCGUGGAUCAGCAUGCCACGGUGAAUACGUUCCC
rnacentral:rRNA from 1 species